GCUGAUUUGGUGUGAGAGAAAAGUACUGUUGCAGUAGAACAGAGUGACUGUUGGGGCCCAUGCCGUUAGUGAUGUUCCAUGAUGUAAAACAACUUGGCCAACUUGUAGUUGCAGUUGUCUUUGUUGCCGGCCGGCUCAAGUCUCAAGCAAGAAGGCCGGUCAUCCAAGGUAACUUACCAAGCCAGCCAGUACUUAGUAGUACUAAUCAACAACGCGGCGGAGAAUAGAGUCCAGUCAAUGGAUGGCCGAACGGACGGCUCGGAUUCGUUUCUAGAACCCUUGACGAUCAAUCAAUCAAUCUCGACAACCUGGAUUAAUCCGUAGGAGGCAGGCGUACAUUGUAAAGACCACCGAUUCCUUGGCCACAAAGCUGAAGACAUUUCCGAGCACAAGAGAUAGAGGCUCCAUCCUCUUCGUCCAUCGGAAUCGGAGAAGAAGAAGAUAGCCACAGCCUACAGCUACAUAGAAUAGAAACAAGGAAGGAAUAAGCAAGGAUCCAUGGCGCAGCCGCCGGAGGGAGCGCUGAUCUACGCGAUGGUGGCGCGGGGCACGGUGGUGGUGGCGGAGCACACGUCCUACGCGGGCAACUUCCGGGACAUCGCCGCGCAGUGCCUGCACCGGCUGCCGGCGGGGAACAACCGCUUCACCUACACCUGCGACGCCCACACCUUCAACUUCCUCGUCGCCGAUGGAUACGCAUACUGCGUCGUGGCGACCGAGUCGGCUGGGCGGCAGAUUCCUAUGGCCUUCCUGGAGAUGAUCAAGGAGGAUUUCAACAAGAGAUACGCAGGGGGCAAAGCAGCUACAGCGACAGCAAACAGCCUCAGCCGAGAUUUCGGGCCGAGGCUUGGAGAUCAGAUGCAGUACUGUAGGGAUCACCCAGAGGAGGUGAGCAGGCUGUCCAGAGUGAAAGCUCAGGUGGAUCAAGUGAAAGGCAUCAUGAUGGAAAACAUUGACAAGGUCAUAGAUCGCGGGGAACAAAUCGAUGGGCUCGUCACGAGGACAGAGCAGCUGCAUGACCAGGCUGCUGAUUUCAGGCAGCAAGGCGUGCGGGUGCGUCGCAAGAUGUGGUACCAGAACAUGAAGAUCAAGCUCAUCGUUCUCGGCAUCGUCAUCGCGCUCAUCCUCAUCAUAAUCCUCUCAAUUUGCCAUGGCACAUGCAAGUGAUCCAUUUAGCUCAGAUGCAGUAGUAGCUGGUUAAUUAGAAUGUCAGUUUUGGAUUCGGGGUGAUCAUCACUUCACUGUACAGGAUCGAAUUGGGCUCAGCUCUUUAAUUUGUGGCCUUUUCCAAAUUAGCUAGGGCGAUAGAAUACGAUUUGUCAUCUGUCUCAAAAUCUAAACUUUCACAAAUUAUCU